CCUACGGGAGGCAGCAGUGAGGAAUAUUGGUCAAUGGACGAGAGUCUGAACCAGCCAAGUAGCGUGAAGGAUGACUGCCCUAUGGGUUGUAAACUUCUUUUAUAUGGGAAUAAAACGUUCCACGUGUGGGAUUUUGUAUGUACCAUAUGAAUAAGGAUCGGCUAACUCCGUGCCAGCAGCCGCGGUAAUACGGAGGAUCCGAGCGUUAUCCGGAUUUAUUGGGUUUAAAGGGAGCGUAGGUGGAUUGUUAAGUCAGUUGUGAAAGUUUGCGGCUCAACCGUAAAAUUGCAGUUGAAACUGGCAGUCUUGAGUACAGUAGAGGUGGGCGGAAGUCGUGGUGUAGCGGUGAAAUGCUUAGAGAUCACGAAGAACUCCGAUUGCGAAGGCAGUUCACUGGACUGCAACUGACACUGAGGCUCGAAAGUGUGGGUAUCAAACAGGAUUAGAUACCCCAGUAGUC
rnacentral:rRNA from 1 species